CCACUCUGGAACCAGUCCUCCAUGAAACGCGCUGCUGCGCCUUUGUUAUCUCCACUAAUCAAAGAGUUAGUCCUGCUCAUGGAAGUCCCAUGAGUAGCAAACCAGUUAAAGCUACCAAUAGGUCCCAACUUUGAAUCGACAAACUUGAGGAGCGUCAUUUCUUUGUCGACGUUAUACUUAUAUUUGCUCCUCUCAUCUGCAGGGUUGUUCAGAUAAGAACUAGGACUUCUGUUCACACCAGCAUCCAAAAGGUCCCCUAAUAUUUACACACACACAUAAAGUGAUUUAACUAAAGCAAGAACUUAAUUUGUCUGAAAGCACCCUUAAAGAAGCCAAUUUUUAAAAAAUCGCUAUGCGGUAGUCAGGCGGUUUAUAUGAGAUUAUUGAUUAGGCAGAACAGACUUUUUAAAUGUCUAGAUCGAUUUUUAUUUAAUGUCAAGACCGAUUUAAAAAAAAAAUUGUUUUAGAAAAAUAGUUUCGUUUAGAUUCGAUUUGUCAACUAGGCAGAUGCUUACAAGCCACUAUACCGAUUUUUAGAACACUAUAAGACAAAAGAAAGUACCUUUGUUGACAAAAACAGAACCAGGACGUAGACUUUGGUGAGCUUGCAUGAUGGCUUGCUCAAUGCCAUCAACAAGAACGUCAAAAGACUGACGAACGAAUCCAAGGGACGUGACAAUGUAAGUGACGUACUGAAGAUACCCUCCUGGUCCAGCAUGAGUGUGGAUCCCACUUAUUGCAACGUUCUUCUCUGUGUAAAGAUCACCAUAUCUACAAAAUGAAAUUAUUACAACAUUCUUGUAGAUUAGUUCAAAAUAACACUGACACUGUGCUUAUUGGUCGUUACCUUGCCUUGAGUCGCUCAAGAACUUUGAUGGUAACGAUCUGAGACGCCAUACACGCGUCAAGAUUCACAAACGCGACGCGGUUACCUUGAGGCUCAGCGACGAUGAAGGCACGAGCUCGCAGACGGAAAUGGAUCCCUGAGGCGAUUUGCUCGGAGUUAGCGUAUCCCAUCAUGUUGACGUCAGCGGCUGGACCGGUGAUGUCAUAGCUUCCCACGCCGAUUAAGUACUCGGAAGACGAAAGAACGGCUCUAGUUAAGAGAAGAGACAGUAGAAACUGAAACGACAAUGGAACUGAGACAGCCAUGUUUUGGAGAGAGGAGGAAGAAGGGAGUUGAUGAUGUGUUCUACUCCUAUGAUUGUCUUUACAACAAGUUAAAAGCCUAUGACACAAAACUUAGGUGUUGGAGUGAGGUGAAAGGUGUUAAAACAUUGUUGCCCACUAACAAAAGUUUAGUUUGGUGGCCACGCGUUGUGAAUUACGGUGGGAACUUGCUUUUCUUGUAUCAGAAAAGGAUUUGUAGAAUAGAAGAGCAUUGGUGUGCGGAGAUUGCAUUGGAAAGACGUCAAGAUGGUGAGAUUUGGGGUAAAGUCGAGUGGUCCGAUGUUGUAAUUGUCGGUGAUUUUUGCUUAAUAGAAUCUCUAGUUGCUACGUUUUGAUGCAUGUUCUCUAGAUGCUAUGUUUUGAUGCAUGAAGCUCUCCUUCAUAUUACUUAAGACUGUGCUUUUUUUUUUUUUAGUUUGGGUAUUUUAAAACUACGAAGAGGCUCAUACUAAUUCCUCAAGGGAAAGUGUAAUUCAUGGAAGCAUCAUCUCAUAUAUGCUUAGCCACACAAUUUUAGUGUUGUAGUCCAUAUACGAGUAGUCCACCCAAUGUGGUUAACUUAUUGUGAUUUGAAAUUUCUUUUCAUCACUUUUUUUAUUUUAUAAAUGAUAUAAUCAUGCACUGAUAUGUUACGUUAAGUAAAAUGUCAUACAACUACAAAGGCGCUAGAAGAACCAGAGAAGCUUGUAAUGGAUCCAACAAGCGACUUAGAAGCUCCGUAAUGUCUUAAUCUAUAAACUCCAGCCACCGCAGACUCAGGUAUCCUCCACUCCACCGUGGCUUGGCUCUCAGGGCUAAGCUUCCCCGGUCUCGACCACUUAAACUUCACACUGAAGUCAUCGUCGUCAUACACUGGUACCCACUUCUCUCCACGUAGCGUCUCCACAACAGCGAAAGAUCCUUCCGUCAUCAGGUCGUUUCUUGGACAUCCCGACCAAAACGUAGCGUUGACUUGUUGGCCUCUCACGAACGUUGACUUGGGAGGCACGUCAGCUUUAACAUCACCGAAGCUGACUCCUAUAGGAGUGGAGUCAACUACCACAGGGGAUAGUAAACUGAUCUGGUUGUCUAAAAGGUCUGGUGGUAAGGGCCCACUCGGGAGUGUUUGACCGUUGACCAAAGCUGUGGCUAGUUUCUUGAACUCUUGGAUAUAAGCGGUGAGUGUGUGUGGGCCGUAUAGCGUCGAAGCUCCCUCGUAUCUUUGAACCUCGUACUCCUCGAAAGUUGCAAUGUACUGAGAAUACGUGUUGGUGAGACCUGCGAUUACCACAUGGAGGUUGUUGCCAAACUGCUUGCUGUCUAAAGAGAUGAGAAAUGACUUCACAGCAUCACGGAGACGCCUUCCAGCCAUUGUGGUGAACUCUGUGUCAAAUUAUAAGCUUCAUUAGGGGACUAAAGAAGGUUUAUGAUGAGAACAAAAGAGAGUCUCAUUGACAUACCUCCAGGGACACUGAGGAUGAUUAGUUGACCAAUGCGAAACAUCUGAACCGGAAGAAUCGAAGGCUGCAUGGUUCAGGCAAGUAACAACCCAUCAAUAGUCUAUAGUUUCAAACAGGACGGUCUAAUAGCAUGUGCAAAUAGAACAGUUGAACAGAGUCCCGAGUCUUAAAAAUUACAAAAAAUUUGAGAUAUUUUCAAAAAUAUAUACAUAAAUUAUGAUAUAGAACUGCCCUGAUUAAUAUAUCAUUAAUAUUAUUUUGAACAAGACAAUAAUUUGAGACGGCCCUGAUUUCAAAUGCUUAUUACAUAAAACAAAGAAUAUAGCCACUCACCGCCCAGUCAUAUGGUGUCUUCAUCUCACCAGUGUCAAGUAAAAUAGGUUUUGGUUUCUGACAUUGGAUCUGGUCCGGACCAGGAGUUGUUAACACGUUCCUCACUAAUCUCCAAAACGCAUUACCCUUUAAAGAAAAGAGAUUUUUUAGUUAGAGAAAGAAAGAUUCAGAGUUAAGAAGCUUAUUAGUUACCUUAUCAUCUCCUUGUUUGAAAUCAAAAGCACCAGGACCAUCAGUUGUUCCAGCAGCAAAACCAAACCCCAUUGCAGCUGGACAUGUCUUCACCGUCUCUGAACCACCACCUGCUUUAGGAACCGUGACUUCAAGGUUUGAGAAAUCUACAUACUCAUGUUGGUAACCAAUCUUCCCCUCUAACUUCUCAGUAGCUUUGUUGAAUAGUCCCACCGCCAUUUUGAACUGCCUUUCUCCAAUGAUACGUGUACUCUCAAACUCAUCAGGGUACCCGGGACCACGGCCAUAGCACAGCUCGUUCUUUCCGUUGCAUGUACUGUGAUUGAAGUCACAAGGCAGUCCAGUGUCUAUGCAAAACGUACCAAGAACAUUUGGACUGACGUCACCACAGUUUGAUUGACAGAAGGCAGAGACGAAUGACGCCUUUCUUACUCGGACUUUAGCAUCAAGACACUGUCCUCUAGAUGACUUAUAAGAAGCUGCAAUAUCCAAAAGCCUGCUGUCUGAAAAGUACACAAAAAACAUAACUUACAUCAUGAUAAGUUUUGUCAUAGAAUUGCCACAUUAGGUAAGUAACUCAAAGACUCACGGUUUUGGCUCAGAUCAGAGACAAUGGUUGAUACUCGUCUAGGGAUCUUCUGUCCACUCUGGAACCAGUCCUCCAUGAAACGCGCUGCUGCGCCUUUGUUAUCUCCACUAAUCAAAGAGUUAGUCCUGCUCAUGGAAGUCCCAUGAGUAGCAAACCAGUUAAAGCUACCAAUAGGUCCCAACUUUGAAUCGACAAACUUGAGGAGCGUCAUUUCUUUGUCGACGUUAUACUUAUAUUUGCUCCUCUCAUCUGCAGGGUUGUUCAGAUAAGAACUAGGACUUCUGUUCACACCAGCAUCCAAAAGGUCCCCUAAUAUUUACACACACACAUAAAGUGAUUUAACUAAAGCAAGAACUUAAUUUGUCUGAAAGCACCCUUAAAGAAGCCAAUUUUUAAAAAAUCGCUAUGCGGUAGUCAGGCGGUUUAUAUGAGAUUAUUGAUUAGGCAGAACAGACUUUUUAAAUGUCUAGAUCGAUUUUUAUUUAAUGUCAAGACCGAUUUAAAAAAAAAAUUGUUUUAGAAAAAUAGUUUCGUUUAGAUUCGAUUUGUCAACUAGGCAGAUGCUUACAAGCCACUAUACCGAUUUUUAGAACACUAUAAGACAAAAGAAAGUACCUUUGUUGACAAAAACAGAACCAGGACGUAGACUUUGGUGAGCUUGCAUGAUGGCUUGCUCAAUGCCAUCAACAAGAACGUCAAAAGACUGACGAACGAAUCCAAGGGACGUGACAAUGUAAGUGACGUACUGAAGAUACCCUCCUGGUCCAGCAUGAGUGUGGAUCCCACUUAUUGCAACGUUCUUCUCUGUGUAAAGAUCACCAUAUCUACAAAAUGAAAUUAUUACAACAUUCUUGUAGAUUAGUUCAAAAUAACACUGACACUGUGCUUAUUGGUCGUUACCUUGCCUUGAGUCGCUCAAGAACUUUGAUGGUAACGAUCUGAGACGCCAUACACGCGUCAAGAUUCACAAACGCGACGCGGUUACCUUGAGGCUCAGCGACGAUGAAGGCACGAGCUCGCAGACGGAAAUGGAUCCCUGAGGCGAUUUGCUCGGAGUUAGCGUAUCCCAUCAUGUUGACGUCAGCGGCUGGACCGGUGAUGUCAUAGCUUCCCACGCCGAUUAAGUACUCGGAAGACGAAAGAACGGCUCUAGUUAAGAGAAGAGACAGUAGAAACUGAAACGACAAUGGAACUGAGACAGCCAUGUUUUGGAGAGAGGAGGAAGAAGGGAGAGUAGUGAUAGAUCUUUAAGAGGAGAAAGAUUUCACACGAGAAGUGAUUGUGAGAGAGAAUACGCCAUGAAAGAUUGAAACUUUGCAAAAGCGUGAGUGGGAGAGAGAGAGAAAAGGUGAAUAAAAUUUUCAAAUGUGGAAGCGAGUGGAUGUCGGUAGUGAAACUUCACACUCUGUCAAACCUUAUUUGUUUCUAUUUAUACUAAUCUUGUAUAUUAUGGUUUCAUAUUAGUUUAAAUAGAUCGUGUUUAUUACUGACUAAUUAUCUAUGGUUUGAUGAUGAUGAUAUUAGUUUUUUUACGCGUUUAACGCAUACAUCCUCGAAAUGAGGUUCUUGACAAUAGAUUAAUUUUAUUUUAAUGUUAUUUGAAAAUCAAGCCAAGCCACUUAAAAUCUGGCACAACAUGGUUAGCGAGAUUUCCUCGGAGAACCCGUUUCUUGUUUCUGUCCACUUUUUCAAUUAUUCUCCUAAAUCUAUUAAAAUCUCCACCAAUGACCUUGCUCUAAAAUGCAUCCAAAAUACUACAUAACUAUCACAUUAAAUUUUGUACUAUGGAAAAAGGAGAUGAACAUAGUUACUGCAGAGGUUACAAAUACUAGUAUUGGUUUUUAUAAAUUGUUUGAAUUGAAUAAUAACAUGUUUUAGUUGUUGAUACGCACCCAUCACCCAUGUGAUUCCUCUUGGAGCUGCAUACAUCCAUGUGAACGUGUUAAAACUCUUUGCUUGUCUUGGUAAUAAACUCUUAAAGACGUUCAGUCAUUGACCAUACAUAAGUGGCAAGUGCAAUAAUCAUUCUCUGAUACACGUACUUGCAAAAUCAGAGGUGGGUGAAAUCCUCAACCGUUUCACACGGAAACAAACUUAAUGACCCGAUCUUAUCCGGAUCCGACCAGACUCAACCCGACAAGUAAAUCUCUUCCGUCCCUGUUUCGUGUAAUGAUCACGAGAAAGAAAGUAACAAAAAAAUAAUAGGAUCGGAAUUGACUUUGGCGUUUCCUUACUCUCUAAGAAAAAAAAAAUCUCUUCUUUCUUCUCUUCUAUCGGUUUCUGAUAAGCACAAAGAGAGAGACUCGUGAUCAAUGGAGAAGCCUCUGCUUUCAGGUAAUUCAAUUCAAUAAAGAACCAAACUUUCUCCUCCUCUGUUUUUUAAAUUAUCUCAUCAUUUAUUAUUGGAUCAGAUAAUAAAACUAAGGAACCAGAGAGAUGGGAUUCGUACCAAUACCUUCAGAGAAACAUCUCCUCUGCUCGUAACAACGUCUCUUUCACCGGAGCUGGCGUCACCGUCGAGGAAGUCCGUUCCGCUUCCGCUGUUUCCGAUCCUCCGCCUCUCUACCCUCCCGUUCUAACCACCCCCGUCUCGUUGCCCACUCGUAAGUCUCUCCGACUUUGACCCUUAAAAGUCUGAAAGUUUCAUCCUUUUUGUCGGCUCUGUUUCACAGCGGAAGCUAUUGGCUACCCGAGUGCGUCUGGAGCAGGUCAUGAACUGCAAAGGUACAAAGGUUCCUACUUUUAGUCUCAUUGCUCUUGUUAGGAUUCAAAGAUUGAAGCUUUUACAUUUAUCUCAGGCAGGUGCUUGAUGAGAUUGAGAUAAGAGAGCUGCUGAUUGAUCACAUCGGCCACCGUUGCUGUUGGGGAAGCCGUCCAGCUCGCACGUGGAGGAUCCGUGCGGUCGAAGACUGCAAUGUCUAUGUCGGAACUCUCGACACUUUUAUCGAAGAGAGGGAAGCUUUAACACAGACAGUGCCUUUCAACGGUGGGAACUUCGAACAUGGAUCUGCUCCUGAGUUAUGGCAAAUAGACCUGAGGUCGCAGUUUCCAACUCUCUUUGUUCCUUACAAAGAGACUCGAGUCCCGGUUCCUCAUUCUGAGACUGUUGACAAGUGCACUGGUAAGACUCUUUCUUAUGUCUUUAGUGAUUGUUAGGAUGAUGCUGAAGAGGGCAUUUUUGAUUAAUAGGUUGCGGAUCAAAAGACUGACGAACGAAUCCAAGGGACGUGACAAUGUAAGUGACGUACUGAAGAUACCCUCCUGGUCCAGCAUGAGUGUGGAUCCCACUUAUUGCAACGUUCUUCUCUGUGUAAAGAUCACCAUAUCUACAAAAUGAAAUUAUUACAACAUUCUUGUAGAUUAGUUCAAAAUAACACUGACACUGUGCUUAUUGGUCGUUACCUUGCCUUGAGUCGCUCAAGAACUUUGAUGGUAACGAUCUGAGACGCCAUACACGCGUCAAGAUUCACAAACGCGACGCGGUUACCUUGAGGCUCAGCGACGAUGAAGGCACGAGCUCGCAGACGGAAAUGGAUCCCUGAGGCGAUUUGCUCGGAGUUAGCGUAUCCCAUCAUGUUGACGUCAGCGGCUGGACCGGUGAUGUCAUAGCUUCCCACGCCGAUUAAGUACUCGGAAGACGAAAGAACGGCUCUAGUUAAGAGAAGAGACAGUAGAAACUGAAACGACAAUGGAACUGAGACAGCCAUGUUUUGGAGAGAGGAGGAAGAAGGGAGAGUAGUGAUAGAUCUUUAAGAGGAGAAAGAUUUCACACGAGAAGUGAUUGUGAGAGAGAAUACGCCAUGAAAGAUUGAAACUUUGCAAAAGCGUGAGUGGGAGAGAGAGAGAAAAGGUGAAUAAAAUUUUCAAAUGUGGAAGCGAGUGGAUGUCGGUAGUGAAACUUCACACUCUGUCAAACCUUAUUUGUUUCUAUUUAUACUAAUCUUGUAUAUUAUGGUUUCAUAUUAGUUUAAAUAGAUCGUGUUUAUUACUGACUAAUUAUCUAUGGUUUGAUGAUGAUGAUAUUAGUUUUUUUACGCGUUUAACGCAUACAUCCUCGAAAUGAGGUUCUUGACAAUAGAUUAAUUUUAUUUUAAUGUUAUUUGAAAAUCAAGCCAAGCCACUUAAAAUCUGGCACAACAUGGUUAGCGAGAUUUCCUCGGAGAACCCGUUUCUUGUUUCUGUCCACUUUUUCAAUUAUUCUCCUAAAUCUAUUAAAAUCUCCACCAAUGACCUUGCUCUAAAAUGCAUCCAAAAUACUACAUAACUAUCACAUUAAAUUUUGUACUAUGGAAAAAGGAGAUGAACAUAGUUACUGCAGAGGUUACAAAUACUAGUAUUGGUUUUUAUAAAUUGUUUGAAUUGAAUAAUAACAUGUUUUAGUUGUUGAUACGCACCCAUCACCCAUGUGAUUCCUCUUGGAGCUGCAUACAUCCAUGUGAACGUGUUAAAACUCUUUGCUUGUCUUGGUAAUAAACUCUUAAAGACGUUCAGUCAUUGACCAUACAUAAGUGGCAAGUGCAAUAAUCAUUCUCUGAUACACGUACUUGCAAAAUCAGAGGUGGGUGAAAUCCUCAACCGUUUCACACGGAAACAAACUUAAUGACCCGAUCUUAUCCGGAUCCGACCAGACUCAACCCGACAAGUAAAUCUCUUCCGUCCCUGUUUCGUGUAAUGAUCACGAGAAAGAAAGUAACAAAAAAAUAAUAGGAUCGGAAUUGACUUUGGCGUUUCCUUACUCUCUAAGAAAAAAAAAAUCUCUUCUUUCUUCUCUUCUAUCGGUUUCUGAUAAGCACAAAGAGAGAGACUCGUGAUCAAUGGAGAAGCCUCUGCUUUCAGGUAAUUCAAUUCAAUAAAGAACCAAACUUUCUCCUCCUCUGUUUUUUAAAUUAUCUCAUCAUUUAUUAUUGGAUCAGAUAAUAAAACUAAGGAACCAGAGAGAUGGGAUUCGUACCAAUACCUUCAGAGAAACAUCUCCUCUGCUCGUAACAACGUCUCUUUCACCGGAGCUGGCGUCACCGUCGAGGAAGUCCGUUCCGCUUCCGCUGUUUCCGAUCCUCCGCCUCUCUACCCUCCCGUUCUAACCACCCCCGUCUCGUUGCCCACUCGUAAGUCUCUCCGACUUUGACCCUUAAAAGUCUGAAAGUUUCAUCCUUUUUGUCGGCUCUGUUUCACAGCGGAAGCUAUUGGCUACCCGAGUGCGUCUGGAGCAGGUCAUGAACUGCAAAGGUACAAAGGUUCCUACUUUUAGUCUCAUUGCUCUUGUUAGGAUUCAAAGAUUGAAGCUUUUACAUUUAUCUCAGGCAGGUGCUUGAUGAGAUUGAGAUAAGAGAGCUGCUGAUUGAUCACAUCGGCCACCGUUGCUGUUGGGGAAGCCGUCCAGCUCGCACGUGGAGGAUCCGUGCGGUCGAAGACUGCAAUGUCUAUGUCGGAACUCUCGACACUUUUAUCGAAGAGAGGGAAGCUUUAACACAGACAGUGCCUUUCAACGGUGGGAACUUCGAACAUGGAUCUGCUCCUGAGUUAUGGCAAAUAGACCUGAGGUCGCAGUUUCCAACUCUCUUUGUUCCUUACAAAGAGACUCGAGUCCCGGUUCCUCAUUCUGAGACUGUUGACAAGUGCACUGGUAAGACUCUUUCUUAUGUCUUUAGUGAUUGUUAGGAUGAUGCUGAAGAGGGCAUUUUUGAUUAAUAGGUUGCGGAGGAAGAGGAGAAGUAGUGUGUCCAACGUGCAAUGCUGAUGGAGAGCCUGGGUUUUACAAGGAGAAUCAGGUGAUGAAGUGUUCUAAGUGUUAUGGAAGAGGUUUGAUUGCUCAUAAAGAUGGAUCUGACUCAAUGUAAAGUCUCAUUUCAAGAACUCGAAACUUUCAGUCUGUCUGAUGAGUGCAUAUGCAAACUGUAAACCUUCUUUUUUUUUUCUCACAGAUGUGGAGAAUGUAAUGGUGGGGGAAAGCUUCCUUGUCCGAAUUGCCAAUCUCGUGGGUUAGUCAAAUGCGAGACUUGUGACGGUUCUGGCUCUCUUCUGACAAGCAGCAUUGCAGUUGUAAAAUGGUAAGGUCUUUUAUCAGUAAAUGAAAUUUGGUCUGAGUGGCAAACUAAAAGAUAAACAUAGGCAUUUCGGGUAUUGGUUCGGGUUUUAGUUGGGUAGUUUGGGUCUAAUACCCGGAAAAAAUUGGUUUCCGUUUGUUCGGUUCGGUUAUUUCGGGUAAUUUGGUAAAAUAUUGGGUACGUCGGAUAAAAUAUUGAGUAAUUAGGAUGAUUCGGAUAGAAUAAUUUGGAUUAUUUUAGAUAUUUAGGAUUAAAGUAUUCAAAUACUUUUGGAUACUGAUAAUAGCUUUUUAAUAUAUAUUUAGGUAUGUUAAAAAUAUCUUUAGAUAUUGGUUCGGUUUUCGGUGCAGUUAUUUUAGAUAUAGAAAUAUAGGAACUGUUCGGUUAUUCCACGGUUUUAGUAUUUCUUUUCCAGUUCUGGUUAUUUUUUGCCCAAGCCUACUAAAAGACUUGAUUUUUAUUUUUGCGUUUCGACAGGAAGACACUGUCAAAGCGAAAGGUGAGUGCAACGAGAGGAGCUGGCUCUGUACCAGAAGAAGUGUUUCACAGAGCAGAAGGUGUUCAGCUUUGCAACACACAAGCUUACCAGUGCACACCAGCUUACUUUGCAGACUCAUACUUCCUAAACAAGUUCUCCUCAGAAGUCAUCUCGUUGAGAGCUGAAGUUCCACCAACGGCGAAUGUUGUCUGCGAGAGGCACGCCAUAUCUGUUGUGCCUGUGACACGCGUCACGAUGGAAGAUCGUGGGAAAGCCUUCAACUUUUACAUUAUCGGUUUUGGUAAAGAGAUUUACAUGAAAGAUUAUUACCCAGCUAGGUUCUGCUGGGGGUUGUGUCCUUGUCUUGAGUGGUUAAAAGUUUGAAAACACACAGAGUUGGUCUUUUGAACUUCUCUACUUUGAAUGUAAGAAACACGGAAUAAGGAAAGAGAUUGCAUGUACACAAAACAUAGCAUCAUUAGCAUGCAAUGCAAUGUGUGGUUUAUACAUAUAUAUGAUAGUUUGAAAAUGUGUACAUGAUGAUAGUCUUAACUAAUCCUAAGAAGUGAAAAAGUGAAGAACAAGAGGACAUCAACGGGACUUGUCCGUAUUAAUUCUCCUCUCACUGGAACCUUUUUGUAACAAGAGUAGGCUUCUGGUUUGGUUCUCGGUUCAAUUCAGCAAUUAAAGAAAAAUAAUCUUCGGUUCAGUAAACCGUUAGUCCACAUUUUCUUUUAAAAUAUUUUUCUUUACCAAACUAAUAUAAAAAUUCAAAUCAAACUAACUAAACUUAACCUAAUUUAAAAAAAUAUUUAACUAGUGGUGGGUCUCCAAGAUCCUUUCGACGACCUUUUAAACCGGAAUUUAAUCAAUUCAAAAAUUUUGGUUAAAUUCAGUAUAAAUUUUGAAACUAAACUAACCGGAAAUCAAACCAAUUUUUCCGGUUCAAUUUACAGGCAAACCAAACUAAAUGAAUUCCAAACUAACCAACUCGAAAAGACCAAACUAACAGAAUCCAAAUGCCUACAAGAUAGAUUGCUUUCUACAAACUUAUAGUUCUAAAUUGUGUUCUGGUAUACGAAAUAAAAUCUUGUAACAUCUUGUUAUGAGAUAGGGAGAGCAGUAAAUAAAACAAGGUGGGAGUCUCUUCACUUGGCUUUGUUGGCAUAAGGCUUCUUCUUGGUAAUAUCUUUCUUAGCUUUCAACUUAUCUGAUCAUUUAGGAUUAAAGUAUUCAAAUACUUUUGGAUACUGAUAAUAGCUUUUUAAUAUAUAUUUAGGUAUGUUAAAAAUAUCUUUAGAUAUUGGUUCGGUUUUCGGUGCAGUUAUUUUAGAUAUAGAAAUAUAGGAACUGUUCGGUUAUUCCACGGUUUUAGUAUUUCUUUUCCAGUUCUGGUUAUUUUUUGCCCAAGCCUACUAAAAGACUUGAUUUUUAUUUUUGCGUUUCGACAGGAAGACACUGUCAAAGCGAAAGGUGAGUGCAACGAGAGGAGCUGGCUCUGUACCAGAAGAAGUGUUUCACAGAGCAGAAGGUGUUCAGCUUUGCAACACACAAGCUUACCAGUGCACACCAGCUUACUUUGCAGACUCAUACUUCCUAAACAAGUUCUCCUCAGAAGUCAUCUCGUUGAGAGCUGAAGUUCCACCAACGGCGAAUGUUGUCUGCGAGAGGCACGCCAUAUCUGUUGUGCCUGUGACACGCGUCACGAUGGAAGAUCGUGGGAAAGCCUUCAACUUUUACAUUAUCGGUUUUGGUAAAGAGAUUUACAUGAAAGAUUAUUACCCAGCUAGGUUCUGCUGGGGGUUGUGUCCUUGUCUUGAGUGGUUAAAAGUUUGAAAACACACAGAGUUGGUCUUUUGAACUUCUCUACUUUGAAUGUAAGAAACACGGAAUAAGGAAAGAGAUUGCAUGUACACAAAACAUAGCAUCAUUAGCAUGCAAUGCAAUGUGUGGUUUAUACAUAUAUAUGAUAGUUUGAAAAUGUGUACAUGAUGAUAGUCUUAACUAAUCCUAAGAAGUGAAAAAGUGAAGAACAAGAGGACAUCAACGGGACUUGUCCGUAUUAAUUCUCCUCUCACUGGAACCUUUUUGUAACAAGAGUAGGCUUCUGGUUUGGUUCUCGGUUCAAUUCAGCAAUUAAAGAAAAAUAAUCUUCGGUUCAGUAAACCGUUAGUCCACAUUUUCUUUUAAAAUAUUUUUCUUUACCAAACUAAUAUAAAAAUUCAAAUCAAACUAACUAAACUUAACCUAAUUUAAAAAAAUAUUUAACUAGUGGUGGGUCUCCAAGAUCCUUUCGACGACCUUUUAAACCGGAAUUUAAUCAAUUCAAAAAUUUUGGUUAAAUUCAGUAUAAAUUUUGAAACUAAACUAACCGGAAAUCAAACCAAUUUUUCCGGUUCAAUUUACAGGCAAACCAAACUAAAUGAAUUCCAAACUAACCAACUCGAAAAGACCAAACUAACAGAAUCCAAAUGCCUACAAGAUAGAUUGCUUUCUACAAACUUAUAGUUCUAAAUUGUGUUCUGGUAUACGAAAUAAAAUCUUGUAACAUCUUGUUAUGAGAUAGGGAGAGCAGUAAAUAAAACAAGGUGGGAGUCUCUUCACUUGGCUUUGUUGGCAUAAGGCUUCUUCUUGGUAAUAUCUUUCUUAGCUUUCAACUUAUCUGAUCUCCCUGACUUCUUCUUCUCCUUCUUGUCGUUGUACAUGUUUAUCGCCUAACUCACAUAUACAAAUAAUAUCAGAGGCAAGAGACCAAAACCAGAGAGAGAGAGAGAUGAGAAGUUUUUUCGAUUAUACCUUUCCAACAUUGAGGAUCUCAUGUGAAUGCUUAGAUAAUAACUUGCCAAGUACUUUAUUAGUCUGUUCUUUUUCUUCGUCAACCAUUCCGUACCUUGGUACAACCGGUAAAUACUGCAAAAAAAUCCCCACAAAUUAGAAAAUACAAAUUGACUAAAAGGGAAGGUGAAGAUGACUGAUGAGUGAUGACUAACCUUGUGGUGUUUGCCUUGCUUCUUAGGAGGUUUUUCACCAGGCAAUUUUUUUUAUCGAAUUUACCACCACUAGCGGUUGAUGUAGCAGCUAAACCUGCUACAUCACCAAGUGCAUCCUUUCCAAUUUUCUGUGGCUGAGUUUUGGUGCCUGAUAUGGGCGAUGCAGUUACAGCAAGUUGGACAUGGCUGCAAGUAAAACCAUUUUUGAUAUCUAGUUAUCAAAACCAUGUAACAUGUUGUAUGAUGCUUACUAACCAAUAAAAGAAGUUGUUAAUAUUACCUCGGUAAAGCACCAGCUUUUGCAGCAGUCUUCAAGUUCUGUAAUCGAUUCUUUUCUUGCUUUCCAACUCUCUUCUUUUUAUCAUCUAGUCUCUUGGCAAAAGGGUCUUCUCCUGGUUCUGCAGUUAAGCGAACUUGGUUUCAUCAAGAAACUAACAACAUAAUCUAAAGCAAAAGAUAAGAAAUUGUUCUUUUUUUAGCGCAGGACUUACCAUCUAAUGCCUUUGCUUCAGCUGCUGCGCCUUUGUUAUCUCCACUAAUCAAAGAGUUAGUCCUGCUCAUGGAAGUCCCAUGAGUAGCAAACCAGUUAAAGCUACCAAUAGGUCCCAACUUUGAAUCGACAAACUUGAGGAGCGUCAUUUCUUUGUCGACGUUAUACUUAUAUUUGCUCCUCUCAUCUGCAGGGUUGUUCAGAUAAGAACUAGGACUUCUGUUCACACCAGCAUC
rnacentral:lncRNA from 1 species